AAACAAGCCCAUAUAAUAACACGAACGAACCCAUAAGUACGUUACAACUGUGAACACAUGCACUAUUUAAAAGACAAAUCCACAGCAGAAUUAAUCAGUAGCGAAAUGGAUUCGACAGAUAGCAGUGCGAACACAAAAUCUAAAGAAAUUGAACUGUGUUACGAUGACUAUCCCAAGAAGAGAAAGCGUCCUUCCCAAGUAGCGGUGGUUAUUCCCACCAUGGAAGAAUCCAAGGCCGCCGCGUCCUCCUCCUCCUCCUCCGCAACGCACGGUUCCAUAUCCGUGAUCGGGCGGCGACGCGCAAUGGAGGACGCCGUCAUGGUGUUUCCCGGCUUGGUGGCGGCGGGGCAGUGGUGUGGCGGUUAUGAUUUCUUCGCGGUUUACGACGGACACGGCGGGACGUUGGUGGCGAACGCUUGCCGCGACAGGCUACACCUGCUGUUGGCGGAUGAAGUGAGGGAGAACGCGAAGGAGGGAUUGGAUUGGUACGAGGUUAUGUGUUCGUGUUUCAUGAAGAUGGACAAGGAGAUCGGAGUUGGUGGUAAGGCGAACGAUGAUGGUGGCGGAAACACCACAGGUUCAACGGCGGCGGUGGUUGUCGUUGGGAAGAAGGAGAUUGUGGUGGCGAAUUGCGGUGACUCGAGGUCGGUGUUGUGCCGUGGCGGUGUAGCCAUAGCACUUUCGCGUGAUCAUAAGCCUGAUCGUUCAGAUGAAAGAGAGAGAAUAGAAGCUGCUGGUGGAAGAGUGAUUAACUGGAACGGAAGUCGUGUUUUGGGAGUUCUUGCAACUUCCAGAUCCAUAGGGGAUCAUUCGAUGAAACCUUUUGUGAUAUCUGAGCCAGAGACGAUGGUGUACGAGCGAACAGAGUGUGAUGAGUUUGUGGUGGUAGCAAGCGAUGGGUUAUGGGAUGUGGUGUCUAACAAGUUUGUUUGUGAGGUUGUACGAAGCUGCCUCCAUGGCCAAAUCAAGAGGAAUUUAAAAGAGGAGACUGUUGUAAGCAAUGCAACAGAAGCUGCAUCUUUGUUGGCAGAGUUGGCCAUGGCUCGUGGAAGCAAAGACAAUAUCAGUGUCAUAGUCAUCCAACUCAACAACACCAUUUCAUCCUGAACUCCAUAUUUCCAGCUCCUUGAACCAUAGGAAUUCGAUUUUGGUGCUGCCCAAGCGUCUGCGGAGUAGAGGGUUUUAUUUUUACCGAACGUCCUCUUCAUUCCGAUCGGGGCAGGUUGAGUUCUUGUGUUGUCAAGGGUACUGCUAGGGCAGUUUCAGUAGUUGUGCUUGGAGAAACCCAGGUAAGGGGAGCUAGAAAUAUUUUUCAUUGCUUGUAUGAGACAUAUGUAGGCUAUACUCUGACUUGGUAUGCUGUUUAGAGUGAUAUUUCACUUGUCUAGGUAUGAUGCUGUUAAAAUAUUUACCCUAUUUAUCAUGAUUAUAUUGUGUCUAGGAUUACCUUAUUUAUUAUGAUUAUAUUGUGUCUAAGGUUACCCUAUUUAUCAUGAUUACAUUGUGUUUAAAGUUACCUUAUUUAUCAUGAUUAUAUUGUGUCUAAAGUUACCUUAUUUAUCAUGAUUAUAUUGUGUCUAAUAAGGUUACCCUAAUUAUCAUGUAUUCUUGUAUCAAUUUAAUUUUAUAAAUAGAAGAUUAUGAGAGGAUCAAUUAAGUCCUCAAGAAUUAUUUCUUUUCAAUCUCAAGUUGGUUGUCUGAGUCUCUUCCUACUCUGUCUUGGUUGCCGCUGCCACCGGCAGCCUUAAAAAUUUCAUAUUUUCUUAAAUACCUCAGUGAGCAGUCAUGUUCUGGUUUCUAUCUAGUUUCCAAACCCUAGUUGCUGUCUGCAAUCGUCUGGCAUUGUUUGCCGUUGUCUGGUGUAGUUUGUCGUUGCCUAGCGUCGUUUGUCGUUGUCCACAUAAGUUUAUCACCAUCAACCUCUGUUUACUGUCAUUCCGACAUCGUCCGCUAAUGCCCGCCACCGACCACUGCCACAGUUUAGUCCGACGACCAAUGGAUCUCGAUCGCAUUCUUGAGCCAUGGUCAACCAUGCCUGUGUGGAGGGCUAGUUCUCAUCCAAGCACUGCCACAUGUGCCACAUCUGUUCAACCUUCGUCGCCGCUGUCGUCUUGUUUUCUCUGGCGAAGUUAGGGGUUUUGUGUGCAUCGAGGAGCGCGACCCAUCCCUGGUUGUCACUGCCAUUCGUCUCGCUAGACCAAAAGAAAAAAAUUCCUUAGCCUCUUUAACGUGUGUUUAGCUUUGCAUAUUGUAAUGUUCCUAAUGGCUUGUGUCAUUUAUUUACAAGUCUCCAAGGAGAUUCAGUGCUAUUAGCGGGAUAACACCAAGGAAUUUCAACACCAAAGUCAUAAAUUUGAGGUUCUCAUGGCAUGAGGGGAGUCUAUUUCUGGCAAGAUUCAGAAUCUUAGUCAAACAAUUUCACCAGUUUCUUGUCAGAUCUGUUUCUGGAUCCUUUGAUGAAUAAAGGAGACCAUUAUGAUCUUCCACCUUCAUGAUUUGUCAUCGGCGCAUCGUCAUUUCCGUCGUUUUACCAUGUUUGAUUGACUUUUGCAUGUCGUGUGAGGUUGAAUAACAUGCUUUUUAUAUCUAGCUCACCCUUGUUUGUGUUACUUGUGUAUGUUUCUUUUGUGAUGAUCAUCCACUUGGGUGGGAGCAGAUGGCGAAGAGAUACUUUGGAAACAACUCUUGACGAAGACGGCAGUACUGCAGCUUAGAUUUGCUAGCUUUUAUUCCAUGAACUCAUAUUAUUUUGAAGAAUUUUAGUGCAUUUAAAGUUUUAAAUUCUCUGUAAUUUUCAGGAGAAACUCUAAUACUCUAAUUUUCAAUUUCACACUAUUUUAUGGAUGACUGUAAUCUUAA